rnacentral:rRNA from 1 species
GACGAACGCUGGCGGCGUGCUUAACACAUGCAAGUCUAACGGAAAGGCCCUGCUUUUGUGGGGUGCUCGAGUGGCGAACGGGUGAGUAACACGUGAGUAACCUGCCCUUGACUUUGGGAUAACUUCAGGAAACUGGGGCUAAUACCGGAUAGGAGCUCCUGCUGCAUGGUGGGGGUUGGAAAGUUUCGGCGGUUGGGGAUGGACUCGCGGCUUAUCAGCUUGUUGGUGGGGUAGUGGCUUACCAAGGCUUUGACGGGUAGCCGGCCUGAGAGGGUGACCGGCCACAUUGGGACUGAGAUACGGCCCAGACUCCUACGGGAGGCAGCAGUGGGGAAUAUUGCACAAUGGGCGGAAGCCUGAUGCAGCAACGCCGCGUGCGGGAUGACGGCCUUCGGGUUGUAAACCGCUUUCGCCUGUGACGAAGCGUGAGUGACGGUAAUGGGUAAAGAAGCACCGGCUAACUACGUGCCAGCAGCCGCGGUGAUACGUAGGGUGCGAGCGUUGUCCGGAUUUAUUGGGCGUAAAGGGCUCGUAGGUGGUUGAUCGCGUCGGAAGUGUAAUCUUGGGGCUUAACCCUGAGCGUGCUUUCGAUACGGGUUGACUUGAGGAAGGUAGGGGAGAAUGGAAUUCCUGGUGGAGCGGUGGAAUGCGCAGAUAUCAGGAGGAACACCAGUGGCGAAGGCGGUUCUCUGGGCCUUUCCUGACGCUGAGGAGCGAAAGCGUGGGGAGCGAACAGGCUUAGAUACCCUGGUAGUCCACGCUGUAAACGGUGGGUACUAGGUGUGGGGUCCAUUCCACGGGUUCCGUGCCGUAGCUAACGCUUUAAGUACCCCGCCUGGGGAGUACGGCCGCAAGGCUAAAACUCAAAGGAAUUGACGGGGCCCCGCACAAGCGGCGGAGCAUGCGGAUUAAUUCGAUGCAACGCGUAGAACUUUACCUGGGUUUGACAUGGAUCGGGAGUGCUCAGAGAUGGGUGUGCCUCUUUUGGGGUCGGUUCACAGGUGGUGCAUGCCUGUCGUCAGCUCGUGUCGUGAGAUGUUGGGUUAAGUCCCGCAACGAGCGCAACCCUUGUUCACUGUUGCCAGCACGUUAUGGUGGGGACUCAGUGGAGACCGCCGGGGUCAACUCGGAGGAAGGUGGGGAUGACGUCAAGUCCUCAUGCCCCUUAUGUCCAGGGCUUCACGCAUGCUACAAUGGCUGGUACAGAGAGUGGCGAGCCUGUGAGGGUGAGCGAAUCUCGGAAAGCCGGUCUCAGUUCGGAUUGGGGUCUGCAACUCGACCUCAUGAAGUCGGAGUCGCUAGUAAUCGCAGAUCAGCAACGCUGCGGUGAAUACGUUCCCGGGGCU